CAGCCAUAGAUUAGAGAGGUUAUGGAGACUGUAGGAAAUAGAUGUAAACCCAGUGAUGUAUGAAAAUGGCAUCGUCGUGGUUUGAAAUGCCUCCCUAAGGUCAACUGUCAGCCCCCAGAGCCAGAAUUCAUGGAUCGAGCAUUUUACUACACAGCUGAUGUGAAACAACCAAAAGCUGAAAUCCAGCCAUAGCUGGAAGAGCUGCUUCACUUCUGAAAACACUAUACUGUGGAUCUGGGUCCAUCAUCAGGCUUUAUCUGAUCUCCAUCUGGACACAAAUAUUAGCAGGGGCUGAUCAGGGCUGACUGCUCUUGUGGCCAACAUCCUGUGAUAAGAUCUCAGCUUCUGUCUAUAUGGAGGUUAGUAAGUCAUUGGUGUUAGUUCUCUAACCCUGGGUGGU
rnacentral:lncRNA from 1 species